GAUGAACGCUAGCGGCAGGCUUAAUACAUGCAAGUCGAGGGGCAGCAUGAUUGUAGCAAUACAAUUGAUGGCGACCGGCAAACGGGUGCGGAACACGUACACAACCUCCCAAUAAGUGGGGAAUAGCCCAGAGAAAUUUGGAUUAAUACCCCGUAACAUAACGAUGUGGCAUCACAUUGUUAUUAUAGAUUUUUCGCUUAUUGAUGGGUGUGCGGCUGAUUAGAUAGUUGGCGGGGUAACGGCCCACCAAGUCUACGAUCAGUAGCUGAUGUGAGAGCAUUAUCAGCCACACGGGCACUGAGACACGGGCCCGACUCCUACGGGAGGCAGCAGUAAGGAAUAUUGGACAAUGGACGCAAGUCUGACCCAGCCAUGCCGCGUGAAGGAUUAAGGUCCUCUGGAUUGUAAACUUCUUUUAUAAGGGACGAAAAAAGGCUUUUCUAAGUCGUCUGACGGUACCUUAUGAAUAAGCACCGGCUAACUCCGUGCCAGCCGCCGCGGUAACAC
rnacentral:rRNA from 1 species